rnacentral:rRNA from 1 species
AUUGAACGCUGGCGGCAGGCCUAACACAUGCAAGUCGAACGAGUGGCGGACGGGUGAGUAAUGUCUGGGAAACUGCCUGAUGGAGGGGGAUAACUACUGGAAACGGUAGCUAAUACCGCAUACCAUCAGAUGUGCCCAGAUGGGUUUAGCCUGUUGGUGGGGUAACGGCUCACCAAGGCGACGAUCCCUGACUGGUCUGAGAGGAUGACCAGCCACGAUGGAGCUGCGACACGGUCGAGAUUCCAACGGGAAGCAGCCGAGAGGAAUAUGGCACAGUGGGGGCAGGACUGAUGCAGCCAUGCCGCGAGUAUGAAGAAGGCCUGCGGGUUGAAAAGUACUUUCAGCGGGGCGGCGUUACCCGCAGAAGAAGCACCGGCUAACUCCGUGCCAGCAGCCGCGGUAAUUC